UGAGGUAUAGCUCAGUGGUAGAGUGCUUGCUCAGUAUGCACAGGGUCCUGGGUUCAAUCCUCAGCACCUCCA
rnacentral:tRNA from 1 species